CAAGAAGGAAGGCUUUGUUGAAUGACGGG
rnacentral:piRNA from 1 species